rnacentral:snRNA from 1 species
GCCCUUUUUGGGUAUCUAAUAAAAUUGGAACAAUACAGAGAAGAUUAACAUGGCCUCUGAGCAAGGAUUGUGUACAUGUGUGGGAGCUUUUUUGU